CCACGCAGUAAACGAUGAAUACUAGAUCUAUGCAAUAUACCGUAUGGGUCUAAGCGAAAGCGAUAAGUAUUCCACCUGGGGAGUACGCCGGCAACGGUGAAACUCAAAGAGAUUGGCGGGGGUCCGCACAAGCGGAGGAACAUGUGGUUUAAUUCGAUGAUACGCGAGGAACCUUACCCGGGAUUGAAAUGUAUACGCUGGAUUUGUGAAAGCGAGUCUAUUCACUUCGGUGACGUAUAUGUAGGUGCUGCAUGGUUGU
rnacentral:rRNA from 1 species